rnacentral:lncRNA from 1 species
GCCGGGGGGGCGGGGAGGGGUGGGGGUGAGGGCGCAGGGGAGGGGGCGCGGCGGAACUCCCCGGACCAGCAACACAGCAAUCAAAAAAAAAAAAAAAAAAAAGAAAAAAGAAAACACCGCAAACAAUAAUAAUAAAUAACCCAAAUUAAGGGUCGGAGAGGCGUCCCACCUUGGUCACUCUUGGAAACCACCUCUUCCUCCCCUCCCCAAAUGCAAAACACAGGGGGUGAGGGUUAAAAAAAAAAAAAAGAAAAAAAAAAAGAAGAAAAACAAAACAAAACAAAACAAGGAUAAAUUCUGCUCGGGAGGAGCAAAAGCGUCUGCGGAGGUCGGGACAGCCAGAGAGGGCUGGAGGGGAAGCCGGAGGUGGAAAGUUCUAACAAGAAGCCUCUUGCCCCAGCAGCCGCCGGGGCUGGGGAAUUCGCAGCCAGAAGCGACAGGAAGGAGGGAUUCAAAGACGGACCCGAUUUCCCCUCCCACCGCACCCCGCUUGCUCGCAGGAGAGAGGUCGGACGGGGGCUCCCUCCUGUCUCCAUUCAGCCCCCCAGACGCGGACCAGAGGGCAGGCCGAUGCCAUCCUCACCCCCAGGCCCUGGCUAAAGGCAGGACUCUGUCAAAGUGCCUGUCCCCUCCCACCUUGGAGUCCUCUAAAAAUGGAGAAGAACCCCAACCUGAGAGAGCUCGGCCCCUUGGUCCCAGCCGCGCCUGGUGUCCGCGGGCCUGCUCCGGAGCCGGGGAGCCUGGAGCGGGAACGCCCGCAGCCUGUUGUCAUCUGUCAUCUGUUAUCCUCGGAGCCGCCUAGUGGCCUGCCCGGGACACUGCGCCUCCAGGCCGCCCCCGCCGCUGCCU